rnacentral:rRNA from 11 species
GCCGACCUCAGAGCAGGUGAGAUCAC